UUUUGUAGCAAUACAGAAGAAGCGAUAGCGGCAGACGGGUGAGUAACACGUAACCAAUCUACCUUACCGUCCGGGAUAACUAGCCGAAAGGUUAGCUAAUACCUGAUACGCCUAUCGAACGGCAUCGUUUGAUAGUGAAAGCAGCAAUGCGCGGUUUGAGGAGGUUGCGGCCCGUUAGCCAGUUGGCGGGGUAACGGCCCACCAAAGCAACGAUGGGUAGCUGGUCUGAGAGGACGACCAGCCACACUGGGACUGAGACACGGCCCAGACUCCUACGGGAGGCAGCAGUGAGGAAUUUUCCGCAAUGGGCGAAAGCCUGACGGAGCGACGCCGCGUGCACGAGGAAGGUCUUCGGA
rnacentral:rRNA from 1 species